CACAAAACGGAUGACGGGAACUUCUGAGCCCUAUGCCGGCUCUGUGGCCGCGUGACGUAGAAUCGGCUCCGAGCGUGAAAAUUAGCCGACGGCUAGACGUGUUACGAGAGAGAAGCGUGUUGCUUUGGGGCCACCGUACGGCACAGCGCUCUACACAUACAUCCGAGUGAUCUGCGACUCACAGCGGACUCCCAGCAUGCCUGGCGGCCACAGCAGGAAGAGUGGGAUGAGGAGACCAGUCUUAUCGUUUCCUGUCACUGGGCACAAUGCCAGUGCCACUAAGGGAUGUAAAAAAUAUCCACCGUCCGUCUGAAAAGAGAAACUAGCUUUCUGUAAGCAUACGGCCACUUUUCACCCACCCCCCCCACAGACUUCUCACAAAAUAUUUUUCCUUUUUUCUUUUUAUUGUUUCAUCAGAGCCCUGCACCGGACCUGACCGACUGACUGACUGGAGAGGACAGCACCAGACAAAGACCCCAAGGAAACACCUUACAGGUCGUGGUCUCUGCACACACCCGGUGGUUUUUAUCUGGACUGCGAUAUAAAAAGACCACGAAUACACCUCUGGUGGUGAUUGCAUCCAUUUAACACCUGCUGAGUGUUAACAGGAUAGACUGCUGGUGUUGCGAUGAUUAUCUGGUUAACACUCGGCUGGUGUCAUCAAUGAGUCAAAGGGGCUCUCCCUGGUCAGGAAGGAGGGGGCAGUAACUGGAUGGUCAGGCUAAGGGGGAUAAGUUGAGGGAUAGACAUGUCCAUAUCUUUCCUCCACUAACCUUAGCUGUUGUUAAAUAGGUACAUGCAACUGGUGCUUCUGUGAUUAUCCUGUUAACACUUAUCUGGUCGUAAAUAGUUAUGUAUCCCUGGUGUUGUGGUGAUUAUCUGCUUAACACUCAGCAGGUGUUAAAUGGAUAUAGACUACUGGUGAUAAUCUGGCUAAGUCAAAGGGUUCUCCCAGGUUCAGGGAGGUGGCGUUAACUUGAUGGCCAGCCCUGGGGGGGGGGGGCAGGCUGUGGGACAGACAUGUCCCCAUCUUUCCUCCACCAACCUGUCACUCGCGUGUUCGUACACAGCCCUGUUCUGGAUGCACGACUCCCAGUCCUGGAUUGGGGAUUAACCUUGUUACCGACGGUUACGCUCCUUGCUGCAUUUAUCCCAUCUGUCCCAAUCAUGGCCAUGUCACUCUGCCCGGGGUGGGGCGAGAAGGGCUGCUCAGUGGAGAAUGACUGACCGGCUGAACAAUAAUCCAUCUUAAUACAUGCCAUCUCUCCUCUACAGCCUUGACUGUACACACACACACACACACACGGCACUGAGAAUUGGGAGUAGACUGGGGAGCACAGGGACAGAAACAUGCACACAAGUUUAUCUGCAAUUAAACAGACGAUAAAGAAAAUGCCUCAGCAGAAUGUGUUGGUGGGGGGGGGGGGGCACAGUGUACUUUCACACACGCAUCUGUCGCUCCCUCUCCCUCAGUCUCCCCCUUUGCCCCCUCCCUCUCUCUCCUGUUCCUCCUCUGAUCAGAUGACUGUGCAGUGGAGUCAUGUGAAGGAUGCGGCGAUGGAGAAAAAGGAAUGGGGAGAAAAGAGGCUGAGAACAGCUACAGAAAUGCCUGAGGAGAGAGGAGGACAAGAGAGGAGGACAAGAGAGGAGCUGGGGAAGGAAGCACUGAGUGGGCGCUCCAAUCAGCACACACACACACACACACACACACACACACACACACACAGGGAGGGACACACAGACAUACAGACACAAAAACACAGAGACACACAUGGAGACACAGCAAAGAGAUAGACAGAGAGACACACAGACACCCACGAAGGCAUAGAGACAGAGAGACACACACACAGACACGGACAAAGACACAGACACAGAGACACACAGACAUACAUGGAGACACAGCAAAGACAUAGACAGAGAGACACGGAAGAGAGACACAUGGAGACACAGAGACACAUGGUGAUGCACAGAGACACAAAAAGAUACACACAGACACAACAAAGACACAGACAGAGAGACACAGAGGAGAGACACACACAGAGGCACACAGACACAGAGAGAUAAACAGACACAUACGAAAGCAUAGAGACAGAGAGACACACACACAGUCACGGACAAAGACAUAGACAGAGAGACACACGGAGACAGACACACACCAAUACAAUACAGUCUUUUAAAAUAUAUUUACAUUUUCAAUUCAGUUUUUAAACGCGAGUGCAAACAGCCAGAAUAAUAAAUGAUGUAGGCUUAACCACAACUGAUGAACGUAAUAUUUAGCUGCCAGUCUGUAGGAAUCUCAGAGUCUGCUGUUUAACAGACAUCUGAGGUCAUAACCUCCGGUUCUCUGGGGAAAAACUCUGCUGAAAUAGGAGUCAGCAGAUUAAUCUAUUAAUCAGGCUGCUUAAUUAACAGCAUGAGAAUAAGAAUGGCUGUCCUAGUCAGAUGGGUGUGGAGGUGUCUGCACACACUCUGUGGCUGUGGUCUAUAUUUUCAGGUGGGGGGGUCCCUGCAUGCACUCUGAGGUUGUGGUCUGUAUUUGCAGGUGAGAGUCUCUGCACACACUCUGAGGCUGUGGUCUGUAUUUGCAGGUGAGAGUCUCUGCACACAUUCUGAGGCUGUGGUCUGUAUUUGCAGGUGAGAGUCUCUGCACACAUUCUGAGGCUGUGGUCUGUAUUUGCAGUUUAUGUUUGCAGAUCCAAAAGCGAGCAAAAGCAAGAACUUCAAGACACUCCUGGAAGCUUCCUUCAACCCAUUUCCAUUGGGUUAGGGUUAAGGUUAUGGUCAAUUUGUACACUUGGCUAGACAGACUGGAUAGUGGAGACUCUCUGAUGGGCAGGGCAUGAGGCAUUAGCCUCAUUGUUUGGCUUAAUGCCUUUAGUGUUGCCAUGGCGCUCUGCUCGGGUCACCAAAUUCAGCAAAAAAAUGCAUCUAAGCAUCCAGUCAUUCUCCUUAUAAAGGAGACUAAGUAUUACAUCCAACCUCCCCAUAUCUACAAAUACCACUAUGGCAUUUUAAUCCUACUGAGUAAAAGAAGGUGAACCGUUAAAAAAGUAAUUGUGCAUGUAACAAAUGUUUUUGUACAUUCAACUUAAUUCAUGCAGUACAAAACGUUAAAUGUAUAAUUAACUCAAUUUAUUAAAAGCUGACAGAUACUAAGAGGAGCAUGCAGGGGAAUUAUUCAUAAAAUGCACAAAACAUCUGGUACUUGCAGGAAGUGGGGGCAUAAAUCGCCCCUUCAUUUGUGUUUGAAAAA